CCUACGGGUGGCAGCAGUGGGGAAUAUUGCACAAUGGGCGCAAGCCUGAUGCAGCCAUGCCGCGUGUGUGAAGAAGGCCUUCGGGUUGUAAAGCACUUUCAGCGGGGAGGAAGGCGUUAAGGUUAAUAACCUUGGCGAUUGACGUUACCCGCAGAAGAAGCACCGGCAACUCCGUGCCAGCAGCCGCGGUAAUACGGAGGGUGCAAGCGUUAAUCGGAAUUACUGGGCGUAAAGCGCACGCAGGCGGUCUGUCAAGUCGGAUGUGAAAUCCCCGGGCUCAACCUGGGAACUGCAUUCGAAACUGGCAGGCUAGAGUCUUGUAGAGGGGGGUAGAAUUCCAGGUGUAGCGGUGAAAUGCGUAGAGAUCUGGAGGAAUACCGGUGGCGAAGGCGGCCCCCUGGACAAAGACUGACGCUCAGGUGCGAAAGCGUGUGGAGCAAACAGGAUUAGAUACCCCUGUAGUC
rnacentral:rRNA from 1 species